rnacentral:rRNA from 1 species
GCUACGGGGGGCAGCAGUGAGGAAUAUUGGUCAAUGGCCGAGAGGCUGAACCAGCCAAGUCGCGUGAGGGAAGACGGCCCUACGGGUUGUAAACCUCUUUUGUCGGGGAGCAAAGCGAACCACGUGUGGGUCAUUGAGAGUACCCGAAGAAAAAGCAUCGGCUAACUCCGUGCCAGCAGCCGCGGUAAUACGGAGGAUGCGAGCGUUAUCCGGAUUUAUUGGGUUUCAAGGGUGCGCCGGCGGAGGUGCACGUCAGCGGUCAAAUUGCAGUGGAAACUGGCAGUCUUGAGUACAGUAGAGGUGGGCGGACUUCGUGGUGUAGCGGUGUAAUGCUUAGAUAUCACGAAGAACUCCGAUUGCGAAGGCAGUUCACUGGACUGCAACUGACACUGAGGCUCGACAGUGUGGGUAUCAAACAGGAUUAGAUACCCCUGUAGUC